CGUCAGGUUGGCGUGGUACCUGGAAAGUCUAUCUACUUUUACUUCCCAGAUGGAUCCAUCCUGAUUAAAAACCAAGAAAGGAUAUGGGUAAAUGGUCAUAGAGUAAUGCUGCCGUACAAGAAAACCUCCGUGUCCAUGAGGAGAAUUCAAGACACAAUUGUUAUUGACCAGGGUUCUCAAGUGCAGGUUUAUCUCCAUCCUGAUGGGACAGUGACAAUGAGAGCCAAGGAGACCCUCAGAGGAAAGCUAUGUGCCCCAUGUGGAAACUUCAACAGGGACCAUUUGGAUGACAUGAAGCUGUCCAGUGGAAAAAACACAAAUAAUUUUGAUGAAGUUCUCAGGUCCUGGGAGGUGGAAGAUUACUAACUCCUUUAAAUUGCCCUGCAGACUGUUCCAUCUGUGCUUGAGAUCUGGUCUGAACAGACUAUAGCAAAGCAAAAUGGAAGCCCAACAUUGUGUGUAGCAUAUGCUCAGACACUUGCUUACAGGAAACCACAUUCUUGGAUGACUCAGAGUCUAAACUUCUCUUUGAAAGUGACCCUGAACUUCCUGCAAGAGUGAAAUUUCAGAAUCCCUAAACGCAUUAAUAAGACUUUCAGUGGAAUGGAGAACUUGAUUAAUUUCUGUACUCUGGAGGAACUACUGCCAGCCCCACUAGACAGAUCAGACCAGGAAAUCAACUCCGCAGGAAAGCUAAAACGAGUAUUAUUGAAAUCAGCUAUAAUGGAAGAAUCUGGCAAGUCUGAUUGUGCUGUACAUCCUCCUCUUUCUUCUAGUUCAGAGGCAUCUACCUGAGGCACUUCAGAAUGUAAUCUUGCUGCUCUGGACUUAAAAAAUGUUUCAGCCCCUUUUGCCUAGGUAACAGUUCCUGCAUAUCUCUGUCAAGGUCAUCUUCCUUACUGUUGACCACUAUACAUUUAGCUGCAGAAUGCAUUUGCUUAUGAUUGGGUAUAUUGUGCAAAUAUAGAAAAUGAAUUAAUUCAGUAAACCAGUUAAGUAUGUUGUGUGAACUCAGACCAUGGCUUAUCAUGAUGGCUUGUCUCAAUAAAUAUGCUGGACAACAAACUA